CUCAGGUGGACGUUAGAGGAACUGCAGUUACAGUUUACACUUUGCAGCCACAGAGGUUUCUUCUUGCUUCAAAUCCCACCAGGAGCAUUUUAUUUUUACCUGCCAGACUUUAACUCCGCUGACCGUGGUGCAACAAUUUCAUAUUUUUCAUAUCUCGAACAGUUCGGCUCGUAGCGUGUUUCUGUAGCCUCUGUUUGUUUCUCUCCUGCUGUGCUGUAUUCUCUUUUUCAAUCAACCUCCUCCCUCUCGUCUUUUUAAAUCCUCGCUAAAAAAGUGCCACGCCCUUUCACCUCUUGUACUCACGCCCCAGAAAAGAAAAGAGAGAAGAGAGGGACAAGCACAAAGACGGCAGGAGAGCGACUGAAUGUCGGAGGGGAAGAAAGAAAGAAAAAGAGCUCGAGCUCUGCAGCAGCCGGGCACAUCUCGGCGAUGAGGUGUGAGGAUUAGCUGUAUCUGAAGCAACGCCCCCGCUAUGCUCUCCAAAUGAGUAUUAUCUCCCUCACCACCACCACCACCCUCCCCACGCUGGCACAAAAGCCAACAGCUCGUACAAUGCCAUGUUGUCAGGGCUGAGAGGAGGAGGAGGAGGGAGUCCAACAGGCUUCGCUUCAUUAUCUGUAGCAGGUGGCGGGCAGCCGUGAGGGGAAAAAAUAGGCGGCUAUUUGGAAGGGGAGGGAGACAGAAAGAGAGAGAGAGAGAGAGAGAGAGAGAGGACGACUCUGCAUCUCACUCUCUCUCUCAUUCGGUCUAACACUCUCCGUCGCUCACUCCUCCAGUCCUUCAGUCGCCCGAGGGACGCUCGCACAAAGACCAGACUGUACCGACCAGGAGAAGCUCUGAAGCUCUGAAGCUCUACGCCGCAGGUUGCUGUCCAGGAUGGCGGGGAUGAAGGAGCAGCAGUUCACGGAGGAAAGCCCCUGCUGCCGGAGCAGCGAG